rnacentral:rRNA from 1 species
UUCCCCCGAGUGAACUGCGGAAGGAUCAUUG